GUAGCAAGAGAGUUGAUACUGAGGUAGAUAGUUGAUAGUAAGACAGUUGAUAGAGAAUUGAUGGGAAGAUAGAUAGCUGUUGGUGAUAGAUGUAGUGGAUAGAUAGCAGAUAGUAAGAAGGGUCAUUGGUAGAGAGGUGGACUGUGGGUAUCAAGAUUCUUAGUGGCAAGCCAGAGUUGCUAGGGAUAUGGAUAGUUAUAGCCAGAUAGCUGAUACGGAAAUAGUGGAUGGAAAGAUAGUUGAUUGUGAGAUAGUUAAUUGAUAGCCAGUAGAUAGCAAUGUAGAAAUUUGAUAGUGAUAUAGAAAGUUGCUAAAAAAACUUUAUCUGUUUCAGAUGAGCCACCUGAGUCCUGGGACACCACUCUCCCCUCCAGUGAGUGAUGAAGAGCGACGCCUGAUGCUGCCCCAGCACCAGCAGAAGAGCAGCAGGUCUGGAAACACCUGUCCUGCCAGAAGAGCAUCCCGGAGAAGAAGACGCGCCUUCUGCUCAGAGGAAGAUGAGUCAUUGCACAUCACUUCACCCUGUUCUCCAGGAGGAAGCAGGAUCAGCGCCUGAUGCUGCCCCAGCGCCUGCUGAAGAACAGCAGCUCUUGGAAACAUGUGGCCAGCUGGAAGAUCAUCAGGGAGAAGAGAACGUGUCUUUGUGCAGAGGAAGUCUUCUCUCUUGUACUUGUCUUGUCAACUGAGAUGAUGCCCAGCUGCUGCAAGGCAGUCGAGAAGGAACCAGACUGAAGAGGAGAGCCCCAGAUGACUCUGCCUGUCUGAACUUAUGUGCAUAGAGAGAGACUGACCCAGCAAAAAAUAGAGUAGAUAGCGCAGGGAACCAGUUAAUGCCAAAAUGCUUAAGUGCAGUACAGUGCAAUUGUCAAAGAGCUCUGUAAAUAAAUUGUUUGACUUUGUACCUCUCCUUAUCUUGUGUUGUUCAGAACUGUGGGGGUUCGUAGUCUGAUACUU